GGUCGAGUGGCGGAAUUGGUAGACGCUGCGGACUUAAAAUCCGUUUUCUGUAAAGAAGUGCGGGUUCAAGUCCCGCCUUGGCCACCA
rnacentral:tRNA from 1 species